CCCCUAAAAAACCCCCCCUUUUUUAAGUUUUUUUUCCUCGCUCAGGACGAACGCUGGCGGCGUGCCUAAUACAUGCAAGUCGAACGAACUCUGGUAUUGAUUGGUGCUUGCAUCAUGAUUUACAUUUGAGUGAGUGGCGAACUGGUGAGUAACACGUGGGAAACCUGCCCAGAAGCGGGGGAUAACACCUGGAAACAGAUGCUAAUACCGCAUAACAACUUGGACCGCAUGGUCCGAGCUUGAAAGAUGGCUUCGGCUAUCACUUUUGGAUGGUCCCGCGGCGUAUUAGCUAGAUGGUGGGGUAACGGCUCACCAUGGCAAUGAUACGUAGCCGACCUGAGAGGGUAAUCGGCCACAUUGGGACUGAGACACGGCCCAAACUCCUACGGGAGGCAGCAGUAGGGAAUCUUCCACAAUGGACGAAAGUCUGAUGGAGCAACGCCGCGUGAGUGAAGAAGGGUUUCGGCUCGUAAAACUCUGUUGUUAAAGAAGAACAUAUCUGAGAGUAACUGUUCAGGUAUUGACGGUAUUUAACCAGAAAGCCACGGCUAACUACGUGCCAGCAGCCGCGGUAAUACGUAGGUGGCAAGCGUUGUCCGGAUUUAUUGGGCGUAAAGCGAGCGCAGGCGGUUUUUUAAGUCUGAUGUGAAAGCCUUCGGCUCAACCGAAGAAGUGCAUCGGAAACUGGGAAACUUGAGUGCAGAAGAGGACAGUGGAACUCCAUGUGUAGCGGUGAAAUGCGUAGAUAUAUGGAAGAACACCAGUGGCGAAGGCGGCUGUCUGGUCUGUAACUGACGCUGAGGCUCGAAAGUAUGGGUAGCAAACAGGAUUAGAUACCCUGGUAGUCCAUACCGUAAACGAUGAAUGCUAAGUGUUGGAGGGUUUCCGCCCUUCAGUGCUGCAGCUAACGCAUUAAGCAUCCGCCUGGGAAGACGGCCCCCU
rnacentral:rRNA from 2 species